GGUGGUGGCCGCGACCGGCGAGGGUGGAGCACCACCGGGGAGCGGCCGACCGCACGUCUUUCGGAGCGUCGACCGCCUGGGUGCCCCGG
rnacentral:ncRNA from 2 species